UGGGGAAUAUUGCACAAUGGGCGAAAGCCUGAUGCAGCGACGCCGCGUGAGGGAUGACGGCCUUCGGGUUGUAAACCUCUUUCAGCAGGGACGAAGCGCAAGUGACGGUACCUGCAGAAGAAGCACCGGCUAACUACGUGCCAGCAGCCGCGGUAAUACGUAGGGUGCAAGCGUUGUCCGGAAUUACUGGGCGUAAAGAGUUCGUAGGCGGUUUGUCGCGUCGUUUGUGAAAACCAGCAGCUCAACUGCUGGCUUGCAGGCGAUACGGGCAGACUUGAGUACUGCAGGGGAGACUUGAAUUCCUGGUGUAGCGGUGAAAUGCGCAGAUAUCAGGAGGAACACCGGUGGCGAAGGCGGGUCUCUGGGCAGUAUCAGACGCUGAGGAACGAAAGCGUGGGUAGCGAACAGG
rnacentral:rRNA from 1 species